rnacentral:misc_RNA from 1 species
GAAGAGAAGAGAAACUUCCUUCUCUGUUCUCUACUUACUACUGGUUCAGCGAGAAAAAGCAUCAUAAUAGUAUCGAGCAGAAAUGCAGAACGAAGCCGCCUCCACUACCGCUAAUGAUGAUGACCUUAACAUUGCUACCAAAUCUGCAGAAUCUCUUCCAAACGAAGUCGAUUUCACCUCCAUGUUAUGUCCCAAGGCGUCCCACUCUCUCACGCCUUACGUGGACUCCCGCUUUGUGAUGCAGCAACAGGACCUGGUAAAUCGCAGCGCGCUUUGCCUUACGCGCCUUCGCGAGGCGGCCAGAGAAGUAGAUUCCCUACGCCUGGAGAACGCUGCUCUCCGGUCCGUCAACCAAGAGCUCAACAAUCACCUGAGCUUACUCCUCCAAGCCUCGGUCCAGAAACGCUGUCCCUCCUCUGAUCAGAACACCACUUCAUUCGAGAUCAUGAAUGGCUUCCGCAAUUUGUGCAACAUUAGCGAUUUUGGAGGAGAAGAACUGUGUGAAGACGAGAAUCCUAAGAGCGUGAUGGAGGUGCAGACCGCUGUCGCGAAGGAGAGGACAUCGUUGCCUAAGAUUAUUUCUGUGAGGUCCAAUGGAUACUUGAAGACGAGCCAGACUGGUGUGAGCAAGACUCGGAGCGUGACUCGGCCUAAAACCGCGAGUCCAAUCAAUGGAGCGUUAAAGGUUUACGUUCGUGGAGGGAAGGAGGAGGAGGAGGAGCCCCUUGAACUUGACGUCUACAACCAAGGAAUGUUCAAGACUGAACUGUGCAACAAGUGGCAGGAGACAGGUACUUGCCCAUAUGGUGAUCACUGCCAGUUUGCUCAUGGCAUC